AACGUUUAUAAAAGUGGUUGACGAAAGACAUAUGAUUAGAUACGUUAGGAACUUUCUUAGGAACAUGCGAAUCUUUUAAGAUCUUUCGUAUGGACUUUGUAGAUUUUUAAGAACAUUUUUAAGAAUUUUGCGGAUUUUAAGCGUUCACAUUGACGAACUUUACCGACUUUGUCAAGAAUUUACUCAGACUUUGUACGCAUUUGAGAAAGACUCGUUAUAACACUCGUUAAUUAUUAUCGUUUGAUUAUUACCAAAUACUGAAUCAAGAAACGAGUAAUCAUAAAAUUCGAUUGUGACACCUCGAUAUCCAUGAGCAAUCACAUUACUCGCGAUCGUCGUUUAAUUUUCAUGAAAUUCCUCUUCGAUAGAGAGACGCAUCAUGCACGAAGCUAAGCCCCGUUACCAUGCCACGAUCUGCAUUUAAAGAGCCCGGCAAUCGGACUUCUGCCAAAUUGUAUCGAAGUUUCCAGCAGUCUCUUAAGCCUGCCUGCUUUCCUUCCCUCUCUCUCAUUCACCUUCGAACUUGUGCAAAGUGGAUGUAUCCAUCCACGAUUGGCGAGUUUUCUAGACGUUUCGGUGAUUCAUGGGAAGCAAAGAAAGAAACGGAAGGGAAAGACAGAAACAGCAAGAUAGAGAGAUAGAGAAAAAGCAAAGAUGCCAGCGUGAAGAUUGUGCAACGUUGGGAAUGCCACCCUCGAAGAGGGGCGCGGGAACUGUGUAAGAAGGAAGACAAGGGAAAGCGGGUCGUUGCAGGAUGCAAUUACGGCCAUUUAACGAAGUUUCGAGAUUAGCCGCGGACGCGGAGUUGGGUGCUCGCGUUUCAUUUAGUUUCGGAAUCCAUUAUCCUUUCACCCAGCUCUUCCUCCAACCUAACCUCACUGCCACUUCGUACCUACCAUCGUCUCUCCACGCUCCUUCGUUUCCUAGCCGUGUCCGUCUUUGUCACCGCGGCGUGAAUGUCAUCCGAUGGAUUCGCCGAUAGCUGAGUCGAGACGAACCUACCGACUAAAGGAUGGGGAUGACACGGGGCGGAGAGAGGGUAACCAUGCCGUUGGUAUAUAUGUAUAAGAGAGGGUGAACUUUGGGUUUGCUCUCCUUCCAGUGGGAACGCUUAAUUAUUCCGAGCCAAGGCCAGCUAGCCAGCUAGCCAGCCAGCUAGCCAGCCAGGCAGCCAGCCAGGGUCCGUCAGUUGGUUAGUCGGACCAGUUCCGCUAGGUAAACCAGUCUGCUAACCAAGGUCCAGAAUUUCCUCCUUAUUUUCUUUGCCGUUUCUUCGCUCUUUCUUCCCUGUUCGAGCUUUUCGCGUUUGUAUUUGUCACGCGCGCCGUGUCCUCGUGAAAGAGGGGAAGCCUUCGAAAAGAGACUUUAUAGAGAGGUCGCAGUUUUGAGGAGUCGCGUUAAUUCCUUUGUUAAAGCCUUUCGACCGUCCUUUGUUAGCAUCGUGAGAAUUCCUCGUGGAUCCUCAAUGACACGAAAUCGUCGAGAUCUUCUUUCACUCGCCGUUGUAUUUCCUUUCCUCUUUCGAAGAAUCUUCCUCUUCUCUUGACGAACGAAGGGGACUAAGAUCUCCAAGGGAAUACAAGAGAAACUACAGGGGUCGAAAGGGGAGACAGAAAAAGCAUACAGACCAUCGGGGAGACAAUGUUUCGUCCACGUGUCGUCAUUAUCGAUCAUGUAGAGGGAAAGACAGAGAGAGAGAGAGAGAGUGAGUGAGUGAGAGAGAGAGGGGGGAAAAAGAAGGAGAACGAAAUGGGGAGGAACAACUAAAAGCGAUAAAGUUGAUCGAUGAUAUUCCUAACGCCUCUUUGUUCUCUAUCGAGCGGCUUGACACGAAAGUUCAUCGGGCGUAUGCGUUCACAGGGACAGAGGUUUCCUGAUAUAAUCUGUCGCGCUAUUACAUCACCAGCGAUCGACUUUUGAUGUUCCCUGAUGAAAUUAACCUCGGAAAGAUAGCUUAAAUCGAUUACUGGGAACACGAAUGGCCGCCUCUGCUGAAACGUUAAUAAUUAUUCGGGCGCAGCACUUAGGGAUGAUUAUCAGCGAUAGCGAAUCGUUAUUCAACUUUAGCUCAACGUCCGUUUUUGCGGGACUGGUCGACCACCUCGAUCUACCCGUUGAUCUACGGGAUGACCAUAGGUGAAGAGAGAACAGAGAACCGUCAGGGAAAACUUCUCGUGAGGUUUGUGCCGGAGUUGGAUAUAAUUACGAGUUGCGGUAACGACCGCCUACUAUAGAGAAGUUCGUCGUGUGCGCGAACUUUGAACACCCCGUUCGACACAGUGGCGAUGUAUUGCCGAAAAUUCAAGAUUGGACGACAGCAACUGUCAGACGUAAGACACUUGGAUGGUAUCGUGUACGAUGUAUUUUCCGAUACGCGUAACAUAUCGUGUGAAUAAAUUGUGGUUGAUGAAAAUUUGCAAAAGGGAAUUGAUAGAACUUGAUGAAUGUAUCUGUAAAAUCAGGAAUACCUCGAGAAGACUUCUUUUGUCUUAAUUAAGCGUGCUGGAGAGUUUGCACUACAAAAGUUUUAUGGAUGUUGCUGAAACAGGAUAAAUGUGCGUGCAAGAUAGCGAUGGAAAAUGCUGUAUAAAUUCUUGGUAAAAAAUGUGCCAAGAAAGUUUUAAAAAACGAAUCCUGCAAUAGAAUGUCACCAUAAGACACGGAUUUACUAGGAAGUUUACUUAUUGAUUUAAUUCGGGUUUGCUUGUCUUAAAUUAUUGAAAUAGGUUUCCCGUUACUGAAGCUUGCUGUCAUCGAUAGUGAGAAACUAGUUUAUGUCCUAUUUUCUUUCGUAAAAUUGGACAGCUCUGUAUCUAAAAAUUAUAAAAACACAACUCUUUGCUUUAAACAUUAACAUUAAAUAUUUCAUUUCACAUCAUUACUAUUACCAAUACCAAACAGUACUCGUUUAAUAAGCUUCUGUAAAUUUCACGAAUAUUUCCUUCUUUUACAAAGUUUUGUUCAAUAGUAUUAACAGUUUCAAAUCUAACUACAUAUUUGGUACCUCUUAAACUCCAUUAUUCGACUUAAAACAUUUUAAUCCGCGUGAUUAUCAAGGGGAUGUACCGGAGAAGUACAGCGUUGCAUAGAUAUUUGGUUGCAGAUCGAAUUGAUCGGUCUCGUAACAGCGUUUAAGCUUCGGCGAAACAUCAAAGUGACCAGUCAAAUUAAUAUUCGCGCACUACCUACGAACCGUUAAAUGUUUAGUUAAUUGAAUCUCACAAUGGGGGCUCCAUAUAAUUCGGAGAUGCGAGAGAAAAGGAACGAGAUAGAUUCGGUCGUCCGAAAGCUCGAGCAUCGAUUCAAUCGACGUAGAAGACAGAGCUGGAAUGGAAAGUUUCGGACCGGAUAGAACGGGGACGCGGAUAUUCGUUGCCAUUUUGCUUGCACAUCUGAAAUUCAAUUUCCCAGCCAAAAGCUGUCGGGGAAGUUCCCAUCAAUGGCGGCUCUGCUGGCGCCGUCGCGGUGGAGUGUGAAAGAGAGAAGAAUGGAGAUUGACAACAGACGCGAGCGAACGUUAAAACGUUUCCUUGAAAAUAUCCAAUGGAACUGCGAACUUUUCUGACGCUUUAAGCUACCGUGAAAGCAGCUUUGUUUGGGUCGACGACUGAUUAAAGAGUCUGAAGGCAAGACGAUCGAGGUGAGACGUUGCUAUCACCAUCGUACGAAGAAUUUGACGUGACACGGCGCGACUAGUCGAGACGACACGCGAAAACGAAAACGAAUCCGAUCGAUGAACGCGCUAAACUUUACCAAACUUACCGACGAUAAACGCUUAAUAUUUCACGGCGAAGUCGGCUGAACAAAACUCGAUAAUCAAUACGGAUGACACGGUUAAAAGUUCGUUGGCCGUUGUUCGAUAUUUGUCGGUUCUUUCAAAUCUUUCACGCUUCACCGUACUCUGUAGACUGCUUUUGUUUCGCGAUCAAAUUAGUGUAACAAUGGUGGAUUGCUUGUAACAGUGUUGACCGAACAAUGUUCGUGGAUUUUGUGAUUUGAAUGAAAGGAUUAAUCGAUCGUGUACAAGCCAACUUUGAUUUAGCUAAAACGUAACAGAUUUAUGAGGUGCUAUAUAUCGUUAAUUUCAUGUACAUAUGAUAUGGAUUAAAUUUUUAAAAUAUUUAUAUAGUAUUUGACAAAAAUACUAUAAAAUACAGGCGACACCGUCGGUGGUCCUUUUUCAAGGGGAUGAAACCUUCGACGCAGUUUCAUUAUUCUCGACUCUGGUUUUAUCUUUUAGCCAUCAAAUAUCUUCAAAUUCGUUUGUACCAAGAUUUUAAACUCACGGUGUAUAUACUAAAGCGGAGACAAAUAAAUCGGCAUAACGUUUUGUUACUAGCAAAUGUGUAGUAUAGAUUUAUCUGUCCACGUUCACUAGUGAAAGUGUAAGUACGUAUCCCGUAAGCACUCCAACUGUUUGCCUUUGGUGAAUGUUUUAAGACUUUGAAUACUAAAAAUACAAGGAGAGUGGUACUUUAUGUGCGUCAAGAUAUCAUAAUACUCUAACGUGCUGUUACAAAUCGAAAUUUCAAUCAAAAGUCUUCUUUAUUAUUUUAUUUUAACCUUACUUUGCCACAAUUGGUAUAGAUCAAGAAAGACGGAGAUUGUGCAAUGUGAGUUUAAAGUGAUUAUAAUAGUAAGUCUGAAUUUAUUAAUUUCAAACGAUUACUUCCAAUUUCGAAGUAUAUUCGCUGUUAUAGUUUACCCAUUUCCCUAUUUAUUGACGGCAGACACUCGUUUAUAAAAAGAAAAGAGAAAGGAAAUUAUAUAUGUACCAAAUACAGUGUAAUCUAUAAAUAAUACAGUGAGAUGGCAACGAACAAAGAUCUAGAGCGAGAUACGAUCUCGUGUUUGCACAAAUGAGGCAACUGGCUACUUCUAACAGUGUGCGACAGUUGUCAUUUAUAUGUGUUCGGUGCAACAAUCCGACUAGUGCAGUACAUCGAACUAACAUUACCUGACUUUUAGCAAGUUCGACCAGCAGAUUAACGAUUCGAUGGAAUUCUUUCGUGGUCUGCAGAAUCGAGGUGGGCCGGCGUAAACUUUUAUCUUUACAUGCAAGAAAGUUUAGCCAGCGCACGUGGCGCGGUUACAGAAAAAGCCACCAUCCUUCCUUCGCCGCCGCCCACCGUCGCCCCGAGGAACCUCGCGCAUCUAAUAUAUAUAGCCGCUAAUGCAAAACCCAUAAUUAUCGCGGCGUAGAGAGAACCCUAAAGUGAUGUUCCAUUAACCGCAAAUGGUCCUCUCCGAAUUUCUAUUUCAGACUGGAACUCCGCGCUAUUUAUCAUUCUGAACGGUACGAAGGAGGAGCACUUGGACAUGCUGGACGGUGGUAUUAUUCAGCGAUUACUCGAGGAAAAAUGGAAGACCUUUGCGCGGUUGCAGUUCUUGAAACGGUUGAUCAUCCUGGUGUUCCAUCUGACAUCACUCUCGCUAGCCGUGUAUAUGAGACCGUCGAACAUCGAUGCCACUCUCCUGGAAUGGCCAGAAGAAAUCACGGAGGUUGGACGCAUGAUUGCGGAGUGCACCACGGUGAUAGGUGUGCUGAGCUACAUUUUGGUGCAACUAGGCGGCGAGGUCGUCAACAUUGGUCUUCUAUCGUUCAUGAAACAAUUGAGUCACGAGCCUGCCAAGCUCAUAUUCUUGAUCAGCAAUCUGCUCAUACUCGCGUGCAUACCAUGUCGUCUUGCUGGUAAUAGGCAUGCUGAAGACGCGAUACUCGUGGUUGCUGUUCCCGGCUCUUGGUUCCUCCUCAUGUUCUUUGCUGGCGCUAUCCGGUUGACCGGUCCAUUCGUUACCAUGGUCUACAGUAUGAUAACCGGUGACAUGUUGACCUUUGGGAUAAUCUACAUGGUGGUGCUGUUCGGAUUUUGCCAGUCGUUCUACUUUUUGUACAAAGGCUUCCCGGGAGUGAAAUCAUCCCUCUACAGUUCCUAUCAUUCGACCUGGAUGGCACUGUUUCAGAUAACCCUCGGCGAUUAUAACUAUACGGACCUUGGUUACACGACCUACCCUAAUUUAUCGAAGAUGGUGUUCGCCAUAUUUAUGGUCCUGGUGCCCAUACUGCUUUUGAAUAUGCUGAUUGCGAUGAUGGGCAACACUUACGCGCAUGUGAUCGAGCAGAGCGAGAAGGAAUGGGUGAAGCAAUGGGCGAAAAUCGUGGUUUCUCUGGAGCGUGCAGUCGCGCAAAAAGAUGCGCAGAAUUAUUUGCAAGAAUACAGUAUUAAACUGGGGCCUGGAGAUGACCCGAACAACCCCGCCUCGGAACAGCGCGGAGUCCUGGUUAUUAAAAGUAAAUCGAAAACCAAGGCGAAGCAACGCAAAGGCGCGGUGGCUAAUUGGAAGCGCGUAGGCAAAGUGACGAUAAACGAAUUGAAGAAACGUGGCAUAACAGGAGAGGCGUUGCGACGAGUCAUGUGGGGUCGAGCAUCUUUCUCCACUCCUGUCAGAACAAGUCCAAACACUGCCGAGCCUCAAGUUUCAGCGGUUACGGCCGGUUUUGGGGACGCAUUGACCGCAGCGCUGGAUGUGGUGGCGUUCGCCCACGAUCUCGACUUGUCUACUGCUACGGAAGGAAUUCCGACCAACAACGACGCGAAGCAAUCGAAAUCGAAGACCGCCUGCAAGGAUCAAGUAAAAUCGGCGACGAAUAAUAAGGAGAAAGUGUCGACGAACGUUCAGCAACAACGGAAACUAACCACUGAAAAUUUGGAUAAUCUGGCGAGCAGUCGUAAUGAUAUUGACAAAAUAUCCAGCGAAUUUGUGGCCGUUCGCGAGAUGAAUUCGAAGAACGCGAGUCAUUCGAGCAUGGCCGAGGAUUUUCAGGAUCCGCUUUUGGAGCUUGUGAUUGCUUCCGAAAAUACGGACGAUCCUGAAACGCUGUUGAAAAUAGCGGAGCGGGCCGCGGCGAAUUUCGAAGUGGAGAGCAGUUCGAAAAUAAAUCUGCAAAUUUUGGAGCAAUUCACGAUGACUAAGCUACCUAUGGAGGAGAAAGUUGCCGCUACAAAGAAGCAGUACUUUGUUGAAUCGAGUGACAACGAUUUUGGUGGCGACAACCUACUCGGAACCGAGGCCCGUCUACGUAGAAUAAGAUCAGCGAACAACAGAUUUAUCACGACACGGAGACGGUCGCGGCACACCGACGACGACCUGUCAUCCACGUCGUCCACAUCCGCCGAUAGAAAUCCUCAAUAUCAGCCAUUGCUUAACGGCCCUGAGAACUUGGUGAGCCGUCAAAUCGAAAGUCGGGAGAGCUCUAUCGAAGCAAUUAAGCCGCAAGUAAAGCAGAACGGAUCAUGCGAUUCAGUGAAGAUCAAGGUUCAGAAGCGUCGACCGAAAACGGCGAAAAAUAGGGUAUCACCGAAGGAAAUAGAGGAGGCUGGUCCGAGGAGAAGAGAAUCGAUCGAGCGGAAUAAGGCGGUUUCACCGGCGACGUCGCCUACUGAUCCGCUCGAACCAUGGAGCACACGCGGCAUUAAGGACAUGAACACGAUAUUGGCUUGGGAGGAGAAUACGCCGGACAGUCCUUAACGAAACUUUACUAUAUUAUGCGCCGUGUACCUCCGGCUGACCGUUCGAUCGACAAAAUGGCAUCAAUAGUUUUUAACCUGGUAGCAAGCUGCGACGCGUCAAGUACUUGGAAGCUCGAGGUCGCUCGAAAGCCAAAUCGAGAUUCAACCGAUAUAGAGAAUUCUUGAAGGAUUCGAUGGUAACGUUGAGGAAAUAUCGAGAGAAAAAGGGAAAACACAGUCGCUACAAACGGUAUUUGUAUGUACAUCAAACAAACUCUUAUCGCAAAAUAUAGUUUCUAUUUUUUAAAUAGCUUAUCACAUUUCACUUUCACAGUAUCAAUGUUAUUUGCAGUAUUGUGUUGUUUGUAGUUGCCGACUAUAGGUAUUGGAAUACGUAUUGAUAUUUGGUGUAGAAUGCUAUUUACUGCUUUUAUCUUUUAGCCAUUUUAUUGCUAAGCAGUCAUUUCGUCCGCAACGUAUAUGCUGUAUUUUUUGUAAUGUAAAAUAUUAAGUAGGAAAUGAAAUUUGUUAGAUUUUUUGAAUAAAUGUAACCAGUAGGUGUCCCAAUAUUUAUGGCUGGUUAUAUGAAAGUAUUACCAAAUCAGAAGAAAUUUGAAACACUUAGACCUAAUUAAUAGGCAUGUAAAUGUCCAAAUAAAUACAACGAUGUACAAAUGCUUUUUUGUAGCCACUGUAUAUUGCCAGUUCGAAGUAUAUAUACAUAUAAUGUAUAUAAAUAUGUAUAAGUUUGUUUCUCCCUUAAACUGUCUGGAUACAACGCAAAGUGAUGCUAGUUCGUAUUAUGUCUGUCGUUAUUAGGCAUUUUACAUCUUGUUUCAGCGAAACGCAAUUUGUCUUACAUCGUGUAUUGUGUGUAACAUAUUUUCUUUGAAAAGGACAAAGUGAAAGUUGGCAAGAAUCUUUUUAAUUUCAAUUGUUCGAAAUGAAUUUUAUAGAACUUUUGAAAGUUGUUUUAACUUCAUAUCGCAAAAGUAAAUUGUGAUUGAGUUUCGUUAGAGAUGUUAGAGAGAUUCAGAAACAAAAUUGCAGUAAUUAACGAAUCCGAAGAAACUGCAAGUUUUUAUUCUGUUUUGAUUCCAAUAUUGUCUGAAGUAAACUCUAAGAACUUUUGAAAGUUUCUUUUACUUCAUCUCGUACAAAAAAAUUGUGACUGAGUUUAGUACGAAAUUUUAGAGUGAUACUGGAAUAAAAUUGUGGCAAUUAAUGGGGAUGAAAAAAUAUAGUUUUUUAUUCGAACAAAUUAAUUCAAACGUUAAAAUUGUAACGUUAUCAGAUCUAGUUCAUUUAUGUAUUUAAGGAACAAUAGGAUUAAAAAUUUAAUAAGAUUGUCGUCCUUGUACGUGGAUGAUACAAAGAGCGUUUUUGCUAUCCAUUUAGUUCGUUAGUUAAAUCUCUAUAAAUGAAUAACAAACGUAUCAAAUGUUCAUCCAAGAACACUUUAAUCCGAUUACAAGGAGUACGAAAAUACGAAGAUGCUAGACGAAAAGCGUUUAUUCCUUUUUAGCCUACCAACAUUGACUAAUAUCAUAAAGGACAAUGACGUAAUGAUAAAAUCAACAAAUAGCAAUUUCUUUCUGCAAAAGGAUUAAUUCUUCGCAUUUAUGAUCGCAGAAAAAAAUCAAAGAAAUCAAAGUCUUGCUGACGAACGCCACUCGUUUGAUCAGAUGUUGCUCAUUAAACUGUUCUUUGAUAUGAAAGCAUAUACAUCUCGAUAAACAAACAACAGCAACGAAAAAUAAAACUCUAGAUAUUUUGAAACAAAGUUUUGAAAGUUACUUAAUUAAAAGCUUUUACAGAAAUAUUGAAUAAUAAAAUAUAUAUAGUAAUUUGAAGUAUAGUUUGGGUAUCUAUGAAUAAACGUUGAGUUUUUGAUAGAUCAGCUUUAAGGCUUAAAGAUAUUGCUCUAGUAUAUCGAUUAUUGAAGUUUAAGAAACAAAUGUAUCAUGAUAUUAAGUAAUUUGGUAUUUAAGUAAUAUCUAAGUAAUUUUUAAAUUAUAAAAAAUAUGAAGGAAUUUAACAAAAAAUAUUACACGUGCCAAAAAAGAAAAAGAAAUAUAAAUCUUAUAAUAGUACGCCCUAUUUUAAAAAAUGACUAAAAUACUUACACGGGGCUAUACAGUUGUAAAUAUUUUAGGACAUUUUGUAGAAUAAGAUUCAAAUAGCAUUAUGUAUAAACGAUUUUUGCAUUAGAUGAAUUUUACAGUAGAUCAAUUUUAAAUAAAAACUCAUUCUAAGAUUAUUCGUAUGGUCAUUUCCUAGCUUGGGAAUUAGGAAGAGAAGAUUAAGGUUUAUACAUACGAAAAGUAAUGUGAAUUUUGAUCCAUUAAGAAAUUUCUUUUGUGUUUACUCUCAAGUCAGAAUUCGAUAGAAAUUCUAAUUUCACGUUCAAAAAUUCUAUUUUAAUUUAUAAUUUCCUAUUGUUACUGAUAUGGAUCUAGAUUAUUAAUUUUGCUCCCAUUUUUCUCACGUUCGAUUUUGAAAGUUUAUCAUGCACAUAACGCUGCACUCAUACUUAAGAAAAAUACUUAAAAAAAGUUUCCUACUAUUUAUAGGAAUGAAAGAUGUAUUGUGCAAACUUUUCCUCUUCAGAGUUACGGUCUUCGAAAACCACGUACAAAGUUACAUCGACUUCUUCGUUUAACGAUCCAAAUGUAGUCGAGCUCUUAUAACAAUGAAAAAAGAAAUACGAAAUCGUACAAUCGCAAAUGUUUUUCUUUGGAAUUUUGAAGUAGCACACAAAACGGUAUAUUUGUACGGAAGAAAGAAGCGUAGGAAAGAAAGUUACAAUUAUCGGAAAAUGCAGGAAAGAAUUUAAAUUAUUGUAACAGAAAUUAUCAUGACAAAGUUGACAAUGCAAGAGAGUAGAAGUUAUACGUAUAAGCUACUAUAGUAUACAAGAUAUACUGCAUAUACGUUUGAUACGUAAAAAUAGGGAAAUGGGAACAUAUUUUUCAGAAAUCUGACGUCUAGAGAUACGACGGAGGAAAGCGAAAUCGAAGCACACGGUUUCCAAUAUUAACAGCAACAGCAAACUGUUAUAAAUGUGUCUUUAACAAUACUAGAACUAUUGCUGUAGCAAUAACGCGGAGCGUGGAACAAUUAUCUUUUUUACGUACAUAUUUAAAAUAAAAUAUUACAUUACGUAUCCGAUGUAUUAUUUUUCCUCCAUAUUUUAUUUACUUUUUAUAAUUGAGUAAUAUGUAGAAUUGGGAAAUGUAUCGUACUUACAUUGUAUAAAGCCUCAGUUUGUGGUAUAUUGAGAAGCUCGUUUAAAUAUGUUUCGCGUAUGCUUGAUAAUUUUGGAAAUAUUUCCAAUAUUUUUAGGUGACAGGAUUUACCUACUUCUACAGUACUCCAUUUAUCGACACGAUAUUUUAGUUUGUGCCCAGAUUAACUGAAUUUUCGCUGAUUGUAGUGGGGAGAAUGGGUAAAUUCCUAAAUAAACUAAAAUAAACUUAAAUAAACUUUAAUAGGCAAUGCAUAUUAUUACGCAUAAACGCGUUGAUGCGUGCAGGAUAUGGAGCCUGGCAUCAAGAGGUUAAUUCGGUUUAUCAUCGACCUCAAGGUAUCCAGUACGCUUUAGUUAAAAAUCUGAUGCGCACGAGUGACAUUCGUAGGAUAACUUCGAGAACCAAUUUAACUAAUUAAUGGAAAAAAUAAUACAGUGUAUUUUUUCCAUUAACCAAAAUCAAAUGUCUUUCGUUGAUUUUGGGUAUCACUUACAUUCUAAAUACGUUUGCACACUUAAAUUUAUCAUGAAUAAGCAUUAAAUAAAUAUGCGUAGUUUUAUUAUCGCUAGCAUAAAUGUUCAUUAAACUAAUCAACUAUUUCAACUAUAAUGAUUAACUAUAUUGUUGUAAUUUAAUCGCUCGUAUCUUAGGUCCGUAGUUAUUCUAUCGUUUUCUACGAUCUCGUUCAAUAUUAUUCCAAAGCUAUUCUUAAAUCUAGAGCUGAAGUUCUUUUUUUAUCGAAAUAACAAUCGUUUUACUUUUGAAGUCGUUCGAAUAAUUAUAUAUAUGUUAGCGUAUACAAAGAAGUUCACACGUCAUUUCCGACGGAAAGUAAUCUUGUUUGCAUUUGAAAGUGUGCAUACGGAUGUUAUUAGAACGCACAUGUAACCGCAUGCGCUGGGCUUAACGCAACUGCGUAUACACGCGGUCGAUGUUUCAAGUUGAAACAUUCAACACUUUAAAGAAAGUCCGUGAAUUAAGAGCUUAGUUAAGAAGGCUUAGGUAAGAGAAAUGGAGGCCUCUUAGGUGCCUGAUCGCAAUAGCAUGCAAGAGCAAUUAAUUCUCUUAUCGGUGCAAUUUCAUUAAUAAAUUACGUCACUGCCCUAUUUUUAACGUGUCUAGAGAUCAACGCAGUUGUGUAUCCCGAAGCGACGCGUGGAAUUAUCGUAGGUUUGAUACAUACGUAAAAAGAAAAGAGAGGACAGAAUCUCGAGGAUCUUAUACAUAUUUUUCGUGUAAAAACGACGUAUACGCGAGAAAUGUACUAGUAGAGGUGAAAAAGUAAAUUAUUUCCAAUCUGUUCUUAUUUUAUUAUUAAUUAUUCUUUCUUGAAUUAUUCAUUAUUUAAUGUGUGUAUAGUUCUUUUUAUUUAAUCAAAGUAGCCCAGAUAAUAAAUAAUAAAUGUAUGUUUGUUAUAAUUUUAAUAUGCGACGAGGGAAAAAAUUUUGUGCACUGUUCGUGUAAUGUUGGGAUCGUUAUUAUCUAUAUUAUCAGCUUUCUUAUCAGUCACAUUAUUUUCAGAAAUGCGUAUUCGUGAUUUGUACUCUCUUUUAAAAUAUUUAACAAUAUAUGGUCUUCGUCAACUUAAUAUAUAAGUAUAAUAGUCUUUUUAAUAUUAUUUCGAUUCUUACUAAGAAGCACGAAAUUCGAAUUUUUAUUUCUUAAAAAUAAAGAUGGAAUUAAUUUCAAUGCCGCUUGAAAGGUACACCGAUAACUAGACGGUAAAUUUUUAUUUUAUGCGAGAAAUUUCAAAAUGUAUAAAUCCGUACAACACACAAAAAUAUACAAAUUGUCCAAAAUAGAGUACUUUCAGUUACGAUUUCUAUUAGAUUAAAUUGGAAUCUCUAUUUGAAUUUUAAAUGUGGCUUUAGCUAUGUCCAUAAAGAUGUAUGUACAUUUGAUAGCUAUAACGAAUCAAACUUCAACAGCUUGAAGAUAAAAAUAGGUACCACGGUAUAACAUUCGACAAACUUAACAUACUGCUUCUUCUUUAUUCCUUUUCUCCCCGAUUUUCUCGCAGAUCUAAGAACUACCGAUAUAAAAUUUUGGUUGGUCGUUUCUCCUCCAAGCGUUCUUUUGUGGCUUGGGCCAUUGCCAUUCCAACAAGACCAUGAACGAGAGGAAAGAAAAAGGCCAGCGAUAUACGAAGGCUCGCUGACUCGGAGAACUUUCCGUCUCCCGCGCGUAUUGAAACAGUAAUGAUAUGGGAAGAAGUCGGUGGGAUAACGAAAUGAAAACACGUGCUGAACAUCCGAAAAUCGUCCAACUUGUCGGUAAGUUGCGUUGGUGCCGUUUACGCGUUAUAGCGCUUCUGCCUGGGGAACGAUAUAGACGCUGUGUGCCGGAACUUUUACCAUAUGGUCGAAAUAAAAAUCAACCAAGGGAUAAUUAGCUGUGUAAAUAGUCGCAAAUACGCAAUUUCGUUACUGGACUUUUUGUACAUGGUUGACACAUUGACUGCCACGGUAUACAUCAAUGACAAACGUUUUAUUAAAUUUAGAAUGAUUGAAUUAAGAUAAAUUUCCGUGGAUCGAAAAAUUGUCGGCAAUGUGAAAAUUGAGAAAAACUGCGCAAUAUAAUAUUGUAUUAUUAUAUGAUAUAAUAUUUGCGAAAAAUAAAUGUUACGACGUAGUAUAUUUCAAUCUAUUGCGGCUCCACUGAUAAACAUAAAUUUCGCGUGUGAUAUGCAUAUAUACAAUAAAAGUACAUGAACAUUUUGAAGGAAAUUCACAAACCGUCCUUUAUAGGUAGGAGAUAUAUAGGUAAACACGUGAACCGAGUGGAAAAAUUUAAUGUUAUAAGAUUUCAAUCUUCUAUAAAAAAAUUCAAUUCCGGUAACGUGUGCAGACACUGUGUGUUAAGCGAUAAUUACAUAUUUGAUUAGAAGAUUUGUUACGAGGAGGAAAAAAAUAAUUGUAAUUAUAAGUUGCUAAUUAUUACUUUUCAUUAAUUUGCAGACGACCAGCUUUCCCAUGUUUUUACUAUGACGGUUGAUUUUGGACUGGACGACUGCUUAGAUAUAUACGUAGAUCGUUGCAUAUUUUACACGAAACGUUCCUAUUCCAGCAGAGUGAAUAUACAUGUGCUAGAUGCUGUUUCUACAUCGCUUAAAAUAAAUACUAGUACCUAUAUCGUUGAUAAUUCAAUGGAUCGUAUUCAACAGUUUUAAUCUGAAAAUAUUUAUAUCCGAAGCUAAUGUAAAAAUACCAUUAACGUAUUAUCACAUACUUAUCUGUAUUGAUCAAUGAAAUGAUCGUUUUAAUUUAUAGAAUAGCAGGCUCGUAACUAAACGUUAAACGAUUAACCGUCACCAUCGUGAAAUCUCAGUCGCGAGCGAGCGUUGGUUGCCAUCAAGGAACUGAUACGUAGGUUUGUUAUCCUCUUUUAGUUCGUUCUACCCGCUUGCUUUUUAACGAACAUCAUUUCCGGCAGGAAAAAUAUUAUCCUCCGCCGUGAGCCGGCUUGUCACUGUUUCAUUGGAAAAUCGAUUCGGAAAACAUCGCCAUGGGGUGAAGGUAGCGGCGAGAUUACCCAGACAGCAGUGAAACGCAAAAGAUAAAACGUCGCGGCGAAUUUUUGGCCGUUGAAAGCCACAACGAGAACCGGCGGAAUGACAGGUCAUAUCUCGUUCUGCUUCUUAUUGUUCUUAACGGGCUGCUAUGAUUGCAUACUACCGAGAAAAGUAUCAUCGUUCUCAGUGGGCCACGAAGACAAUCCUUACUGCCGCAUUUGCGCCAAUCACACCAUGUGCCAAUUUCCGCACGACACGGAUGGCACCAGGUGCGUGAACCUUCAGCAUACUGAUCUGAACGAGAAGGAUAUCGAGACCAUACUCGAUUGGCACAACGUUUAUCGCAACACUGUGGCGAACGGGGACGAGGAGCGAGGAAAUCCGGGACCUCAACGUCCAGCAAAGUUCAUGAUGGAGCUGGUACGAUUUAGUUUGGUCCACCAAGGCAUAAUAUAUGUGGCUAUAAAAAAGAAGGGAUAAGGUUGGAACAUGCUGACGACUGGCAUGAACAACAUUCAGGUGUUGAAUGGCAACUGUGAAGAAAUUUCAACCCUCUCUAUAGUAGAAAAAUUCCCAACCAGUCCCUUUCGACUGUUUUAUUUCAUAAAUCUGUUCAUAAACCAAAGUAUAUGCCACUUCGAUACGCGUAAACCCAAUGUAACUUGUAAACUCGAGUUAUAAAAACUUUAUAUUACGACCCAAAUAAAAACUGUCAAUUGAAGGAAA